CGUUGCAGUGGCUUCCGCUUGAACGGGGCCAGGGCUGGAACCUAGCUGCCCUGGACGCUGUGGCUCGAG
rnacentral:SRP_RNA from 1 species